rnacentral:rRNA from 1 species
UCAGACGAUGCGUCAUGCAUAUCAAUAGCGGAGGAAAAGAAACUAACAAGGAUUCCCUUAGUAACGGCGAGUGAAGCGGGAAGAGCUCAAAUUUGAAAUCUUCAAGGUUUUACCUUGACGAAUUGUAGUUUAAAGAAGUGUUUUCUGUUGAAGUUUUGGUAAAAGUUCUUUGGAAUAGGACAUCAUAGAGGGUGAGAAUCCCGUAUUUGACCAUUAUCUCCAGCUGUGUGAUACACUUUCAAAGAGUCGGAUUGUUUGGGAAUGCAGUCCAAAAUGGGUGGUAAAUUUCAUCUAAAGCUAAAUAUUGGCGAGUGACCGAUAGCGAACAAGUACCGUGAGGGAAAGAUGAAAAGAACUUUGAAAAGAGAGUUAAACAGUACGUGAAAUUGUCAAAAGGGAAGCGUUUGACACCAGUGUUGUUUUUCCGAAAAUCAAUUAAAAAUGGAUUCAUGCCAAGUUGUAUUGACCUUAUCAGCUUGCAAUUUGGUUUUGGGUUCUUUUUUGAUGCACUUUUCGGUUAACAAGUCAACAUCAAUUUCCUUUGCUGUAAAAGGGCAGAAGGAAGGUGGCUUCAAUUUCGGUUGAAGUGUUUAUAGCCUUUUGUCUCUGCAGUCGGGGAGAUUGAGGUCUGCAGCGUAGAUCCUUCGGGGUUAGAUACAUUCGUGCUAAGUUAUAGCCUUUUAUAGACAACUUGUUGACUAUGAUCAGUCAUGUAGCUUACUCGCUUAUGCUAUUUUACCUACGCUUAGGAUGUUGAUAUGCAUGACUGAUAU